rnacentral:rRNA from 1 species
GGGGCAACCCCUCGAGAGUGGCGAACGGGUGAGUAAUAUAUCGGAACGUGCCCAGUCGUGGGGGAUAACGUAGCGAAAGUUACGCUAAUACCGCAUACGAUCUACGGAUGAAAGCGGAGGAUCGCAAGACCUCGCGCGAUUGGAGCGGCCGACAUCAGAUUAGGUAGUUGGUGGGGUAAAGGCUCACCAAGCCAACGAUCUGUAGCUGGUCUGAGAGGACGACCAGCCACACUGGAACUGAGACACGGUCCAGACUCCUACGGGAGGCAGCAGUGGGGAAUUUUGGACAAUGGACGCAAGUCUGAUCCAGCCAUUCCGCGUGCAGGAUGAAGGCCCUCGGGUUGUAAACUGCUUUUGUACGGAACGAAAAGGUUUCUAUUAAUACUAGGAGCUCAUGACGGUACCGUAAGAAUAAGCACCGGCUAACUACGUGCCAGCAGCCGCGGUAAUACGUAGGGUGCAAGCGUUAAUCGGAAUUACUGGGCGUAAAGCGUGCGCAGGCGGUUAUGUAGGACAGAGGUGAAAUCCCCGGGCUCAACCUGGGAACUGCCUUUGUGACUGCAUAGCUAGAGUACGGUAGAGGGGGAUGGAAUUCCGCGUGUAGCAGUGAAAUGCGUAGAUAUGCGGAGGAACACCGAUGGCGAAGGCAAUCCCCUGGACCUGUACUGACGCUCAUGCACGAAAGCGUGGGGAGCAAACAGGAUUAGAUACCCUGGUAGUCCACGCCCUAAACGAUGUCAACUGGUUGUUGGGUCUUCACUGACUCANUAACGAAGCUAACGCGUGAAGUUGACCGCCUGGGGAGUACGGCCGCAAGGUUGAAACUCNNNGAGUUGACGGGGACCCGCACAAGCGGUGGAUGAUGUGGUUUAAUUCNAUGCAACGCGAAAAACCUUAC